rnacentral:rRNA from 1 species
AUUGAACGCUGGCGGCAGGCCUAACACAUGCAAGUCGAGCGGUAGAGAGGUGCUUGCAUCUCUUGAGAGCGGCGGACGGGUGAGUAAUGCCUAGGAAUCUGCCUAGUGGUGGGGGAUAACGUUCGGAAACGGACGCUAAUACCGCAUACGUCCUACGGGAGAAAGCGGGGGAUCUUCGGACCUAGCGCCAUUAGAUGAGCCUAGGUCGGAUUAGCUAGUUGGUGAGGUAAUGGCUCACCAAGGCGACGAUCCGUAACUGGGCUGAGAGGAUGAUCAGUCACACUGGAACUGAGGCACGGUCCAGACUCCUACGGGAGACAGCAGUGGGGAAUAUUGGACAAUGGGCGAAAGCCUGAUCCAGCCAUGCCGCGUGUGUGAAGAAGGUCUUCGGAUUGUAAAGCACUUUAAGUUGGGAGGAAGGGUCGUAACCUAAUACGUUGCGGCUUUGACGUUACCGACAGAAUAAGCACCGGCUAACUUCGUGCCAGCCGCCGCCGUAAAAC